rnacentral:rRNA from 1 species
GUCUAUGAGGAAUUUAGCUUGCUAAUGGACUCAUGGCGGACGGGUGAGUAACGCGUAAAGAACUUGCCCUUUAGACUGGGAUAACAGAGGGAAACUUCUGAUAAUACUGGAUAAGUUAGUAUAUCGCAUGAUAUGCAAAUGAAAGCUACGGCACUAAAGGAGAGCUUUGCGUCCUAUUAGCUAGUUGGUAAGGUAAGAGCUUACCAAGGCGAUGAUAGGUAGCCGGCCUGAGAGGGUGGACGGCCACAAGGGGACUGAGAUACGGCCCUUACUCCUACGGGAGGCAGCAGUGGGGAAUAUUGGACAAUGGAGGGAACUCUGAUCCAGCAAUUCUGUGUGUGUGAAGAAGGUUUUAGGACUGUAAAACACUUUUAGUAGGGAAGAAAAAAAUGACGGUACCUACAGAAGAAGCAACGGCUAAAUACGUGCCAGCAGCCGCGGUAAUACGUAUGUUGCGAGCGUUAUCCGGAAUUAUUGGGCUUAAAGGGCAUCUAGGCGGUAAGACAAGUUGAAGGUGAAAACCUGUGGCUCAACCAUAGGCUUGCCUACAAAACUGUUGAACUAGAGUACUGGAAAGGUGGGUGGAACUACACGAGUAGAGGUGAAAUUCGUAGAUAUGUGUAGGAAUGCCGAUGAUGAAGAUAACUCACUGGACAGAAACUGACGCUGAAGUGCGAAAGCUAGGGGAGCAAACA